rnacentral:lncRNA from 1 species
GCACAAACACCAAUUCCAAGCCUAACUAGGGCAAUCGACUAAAAACAUCAAAAACUACCAUAAAACUUCCACCUCAAAUUUCUCCUUACCUAGCUCAAGAGGGAGGGAGCUGCUUGGAGGGGUUGUUGCACGGGAGGAGGGCUACAAAACCGUACCAAGCUUGCCCGGAUUGGUGGCCGGAGGAGGAAGUUCCGGCGAGAAAACCAAUUCGGCAGUCGAAGCUUUCGGGCGGCACCGCUCACUCACGGCGGCGCUAGGGCUCCUCUCACCGGUCUAGAAAUGUUGCUGGGAGGGAGACCGACCGAACGGGACCGGUCCGGCGGCGAACGGAGGUCGGACGGCGGCGGGAGGGCAGCCGGAAAACCGGGCAGCGGGAGGCUCGGGUGCGGAGAGGAAAUCGGGAGGGAGAGAGAAAGAAAGGAAGAAGAAAUGGGUUGGGCUCGGCCCAGCCGACCCAACAAUCCUUUUAACCCAAAAUUCCAAAAUUCAACACCCCGAAAAAUAAUACCCGAAUAAAAAUUACCUUUUACUAGCUAAAAUUUACUAUUUUUACCGUCGUCGUAUUUUCCACAUACGAAUUAUCCUCCGCACAUAAUCGUCCCCGAAACCCCUCUAGGGACCAAUUAAACUAUUUACUCAAAGAUCGAGACGGUAAAAUUCUUAUUAUAAUCACGCUAGUAAAUAAGGUAAAAUAUAAGGGUCGGGAUGUGACAAUUCUCCCCUCCUUAUAAAAAUUUCGUCCUCGAAAUUAAUAUACAUGUCAUCCGAAGAGAUACGGAUACUGCUGCAUCAUUUGCUCCUCUGAUUCCCAAGUAGCUUCUUCUACUUGAUGACUUCUCCACAGCACCUUGACAAGCGGGAUUGUCUUGUUCCUAAGCACUUGCUCCUUUCGGUCGAGAAUCUGAACCGGUUCCUCUUCAUAGGUCAAAUCUCUCGUCAAACUGAUCGGCUGCUCUUGCAGCACAUGAGAAGGAUCGGCAAUAUACUUGCGAAGCAUGGAUACAUGAAACACCUUAUGUAUCCUAGCUACUCUGGAGGCAAGGC